UGGUGUAAGGCGAACGUCGCUGCCUGGAAAGCAGAAAAUGCGGGUUCGAGUCCCGC
rnacentral:tRNA from 1 species